ACAUGAUUGAAUUAUGAAGCAUGUCCCUCACAUGUGUUAUUGUUGGUCCUAUAGACCUGUCUAAUCUUUGGCUGAAGGGUGGAUCUCAGAAGUGACUUCAGUAUUGAGUUAAAGGGGUGACCGGUAGCCAUACUCUUCAGGUGUCUUCAGUCUCUGUCAGGCCAGCAAGGCUGAUCUUUUUUGUGUGUGUGUGUUUGUGAAUUUGAAUUUUGUUCUGCAUUUUUCUUCGGCUCUGUUUUUGGACCCUCUAUUGUGCUCCCUGCCCGAGCCGUGAGUGUUGGUAAUCUGGCACCAUCUAGUUAUUCUGGGCUCAGGCUGGUGGAGGCUGUGGUUCAUGUGGUCCAUUAGUCCUUUGGAUAAUCUUUCCAUUGCGUUUUUGCUCUUCUUCAUUCUCUUUUGUUCCAGCCAGGAUGGAACCAGUAGAUGUAUCUUAGAUGGCCACUCAUAGGCUUUUAAGACCUCAGUUGCUACUCACCACAGUCAGUUGUAGAGCAAUUUUUUUUUAUACAUUGUUAUGCCAAAUGAGCUAGAUGUCCCCUGAGACCGGGGUCCUCAGCCCUCAGCCCAGUAGCUCUGUCUCUCAAGGCAUUUAGGAGUGUCUGUGAAGAUGAGGUGGCCGUAGGUAGAUGGAUAUACAUCUGGGUCCUCGAUUCUGUUCCAUAGGUCAAUGUGUCUAUCAUUGUACCAGUACCAGGCUAUUUUGACUACCAUAGUUAUAUAUCAGUGCUCCGACUCCUACAUUGCACUUCUUCAGUAAUAUUUUACUUAUCUGGGGCCUCUUUCCUUUCCAUAUUAAGUGAAUGAUUAGUUUUUCAAUCUGCUUAAAGAAUGAUGCUAGUAUUAGAAUCAAGACUGCAUUGUAUUUGUAGACUGCUUUGGGUAGAAUGGACAUUUUCAGAAAAUCAAGCCUGCCUAUCCAUGAGCAUGGUAUGAUUUUCCAUUUAGGUAGGUCUUGUUUGGUUUCUUGCAGCAGUUUUUUGUAGUUUUCUUUGUAUACGUCUUUUACAUCCCUGGUUAGAUUUAUUCCUAAGUAUUUUAUUUUUUAAGGGGCUAGUGGUGUUGUUCUCCUGAUUUCCUUUUCAUAGUUCUCUUUAUUGGUGUAUAGAAAUCCAGCUGAGUUUUGCGUGUUUAUCUUGUGUCCUGCUACUCUGCUGAAUUUUUGUAUUAGUUCCAGUAGUUUUCUUGUGGAGUCUUUUGGGUUCUCUAUGUGUGUAGUAUCACACCAUCUGUGAAUAGGGAUAGUUUUCCUUCUUCAUCACCAAUUUAGAUGCCUUUUAUUUCUCUUUUUUGCCUUAUUGUUCUAGCUAGGACUUCCAGCAGAAUGUUAACUAGGAGUGGUAAUAAAAGGUAUCCUUGUCUUGUUCCCAUUCUAAAGGCAAAUUUUUCAGCCUCUCUCCACUGAGAAUGACAUUGCCUCUUGGUUUUGUAUAGAUGCCCUUUAUUAUGAUGAGGAAUUUCCCUUCUAUUCCUAUUUUAUUGUAUGCUUUUAUCAGGAAUGGGUGUUGGUCUUUACAAAUGCCUUUUCUGUGUUGAUUGAGAUAUUAUUAUCAUGUAAUUCUUUUCUUUCUGAAGUGGCUUACUUUGGUUGAUUUUCUAAUGUUGAAUCAUCCUUGCAUACCUCUUAUGAAUCUGUCUUGGUCAUGGUGUAUUAUUUUUUUUGAUAUGGUGCUGAAUUCUAUUGUCUAGAAUUUUUUUGAAAAAUUUUGCAUCUAUACUCGUGAGAGAUAUGGGUCCGUAAUUUUCUUUUUUUGUGGUGUCUUUGCCUGGUUUUUGUAUCAGGGUUAUGCUGGCUUUACAGAAUUAAUUGGGAAAUACCUCAUCCUUUUCUGUGUUCUGAAACAGUUUGAGUAGUGCUGGUGCAAACUCUUUGAAUGUUUGGUAGAAUUCUGCCAGAGGGGCACAGUGAAGCCAUCUUGGCCAGGACUUUUUGUUGUUGGGAGUUUUAUUAUUAUUAUCUUUUCAAUCUCUUCUCUUUCUAAAGUUCUGUUCAGAUUUUCUACUUCAUUUGCAUUAGUUAGGUAGGUAGUGUGUUUCUAGAAUAUGUGCAUUUCCUUUAGGUUUUCAAAUUUGUUGGAGUACAGUAUCUCAGUACUCGGUAAUGAUCCUUUUUAUUUCAGAUGGGUCUGUUGUAAUGUCUCCCAUUUUAUUUCUUAAUUGAGUUACUUACUUCCUCUCUUGUUUUCCUUUUGUCAGUUUGGCCAGUGGUUUGUCAAUUUUGUUGAUCCUUUCAAAGAACCAACUUUUGGUUUUGUGAUUCUUUCUAUUGCUUUUCUGUUUCAUGUAUUUCUACUCUGGUCUUUAUUAUUUCCUUUCUUUUGGUGUCUGUGGGCUUCUUUUGCUGUUCUUUCUAUGUGUUUGAAUUGUACAGCUAAUGUUUUGAUUUUGUGCCUUUCUUCUUUUCUGAUGUGUGCAUCUGUUGCUAUAAAUUGACCUCUGAGCACUGAGCAAUGCCUUUGCUGUGUCUCAAAGGUUUUGGUAUGAUGUGUUUGCAUUCUUGUUUGAGUCUAGAAAUUUUUUACUUGCAUCUUUGAUUUCUUCUAUUCCACAGUGGUUUUUAAGCAAGGUGUUAUUCAGUUUCCAUGUAUUUGAUUUUUUUUCCCUUGCUCUUCCUGUUAUUAAUUUCUACUUCUAUGACAUUUUGAUCAGAGUAUAUGCUUUGUGUUAUCUCAUCGUUUUGGAUUUUGCUGAGGGUUGCUUUGUGCCCUUAGAUGUGGUCUCUGCUGCAGAAUGUUCCAUGCGCAUUGGAAAAUAAUGUAUACUUUGGUGUUGUUGGGUGGUCUAACACAUAUUUUGGGAGAGACACAAUUCAGUGUGUAACAGGGGUGUCUCCUUACACUAUUGCCAUUGUCAGAAGAAAAGGCUUAGGCUAAUAGAUAUAGCAGUAGUUGGAGGCAGAUGACAUGGUGGUCCUGAUAGCUCUCCUUGGGGAAGGUGUGCAACUGGGAGGAGGCUUUUGUAGAUUUAAGCAGUGAAAGGAGGAGGUCAUGAGCAAAGAAUUCUGGUUGAAUUCUGGUCUUGGGUGCUUACAGACUUCUCGUACUGAAGACUACUGUCCCGGGUGAAUUCUUCCCGGGGACUAAGUGGGGAACCCAUUGUGAUUAAAGGCUAUGCAGUGUUAUAAGAAUUUCUUCAUCUUGCCUGUCAUUCGGAUAAGGGGUUAGAGUUAGUUAAAUGUCGUUAGAUGUUGGAACUGUUAUUAGAAAAGGUAAGGUAAAUGUUGGCACUGUUUUUAGAAAAUUGGCUAAUUCAUGCAAAAGUCUUUCACUAAAACAACAGCAGUAGUGAAAAUGGUAAAUGGGUAUUAAACUUAAAGUAAAUCAGUAAUCUUUGGUGGCAGAGAUCUGGACUGUGAAUCUGAGACAAGGAGCAGCAGCAGUAGGAGUAGCAGCAUCAGCAGUGUGCAGAGCUAGAGAAACAACACGGGGAUGUGAAAUAUGGAACGAAUGUCUGUAAAGCACAGGAAUCAGCCUGGCCACAUUUUCCCUUCCUUCCCCUGGUUGUGUUAAACUUUGCCAAUAGAGGUGUGAGUUCAUUCUACAUAGGGCCUCUUUCAAACAAAGUGCAAUAACCUCAGAUGACAGAGUAAAUCUUUCUUAUGAAAAGUUGUCUAUUUUUGUCUCUAAAGGUGGAGAACGACUCCUUGUGGGAAUAUCACACGCUCACCAUGGUCUUGAGGAGACACUGCUGCCAUCAGCUCCCUGGUGAGGGAGCUGUAGUGGAGUAGCAGUGCCCACCAGACACCUACGGCUGAAUGGGACUGCUCUGUUGAACCCGCAAAGUUUAUUGGCAGAACUCAGCUGUCAUGCUGUGAGAAGCCCCAGCCCUAUGAAAACGCCAUAUGUAGACACUCCAUUCAGUUAUUCCAGCUGGACUCCCAGCUACCAACCUGCAUCAACCACCAGCCUUUUGAGGGAACCACACUGGAUCUUCCAGCCCAUUUAAGCCAUCAGAUGACUCCAGCUCCACCCAAAAUCUCACUAUUGCCACAUGAGAAGCCUCAGAGAUUAAACAAGCAAGUGAUCAAGCAGAGAUGGGGGAAGAUAAAUGUCAUAUCACAUGAAGAUCACCAAGGAGCCAAGGAAUAGAACCUGAAGAGACAAGAACUUUCCCCCAGAGCUGACAAAUGGAGAGGGUCUUCCUCUAGAGCCAGUGCCCUGAAUUUGGACUUCUACCCUCCUAAGUGUGAGAAAAUAAAUUUUCUGUUUGUUAAAGCCACUCACUUGCAGUACUGACGUGAUAGCAGCAGUGGAUAACUAAGACAGGGUUCUAAUCCUAUAUGAUUAAUAUCCUAUAAAAGACUGAAGACAGCCAUGUGACAUUGGAGGUGGAAUUGGAGUUAUUCAGUUGCAAGCCAAAGAACGCCUGAGGCCACCAGAAGUUGGGAGACACAAGACAGGAUCUUCCUCUAAAAAUGUCAGAGGUUAUGGCCCUGCUGACACCCUGGUUUAGACUCCUACCCUCCAUACUAUGGCAAAAUCAAUUUCCAUUCCUCUAAGUCAGCCACUUUGUGGUACUAGGAAACUCAUCAAAGGAGAGAAAUAAACAUCAUUCAAAACUAGUUAAAGUGAUCGAUUGAAUUAUCUCUUUAUUUGGGAAGAUGGUGAACAUGUUUAAGAUGUAUGUGGGAUAGUUUCAACAUGUUCGGUGGAAAUAAGUUUGCUAUUGUUUGUAUCUGGAAGAAAAAAAGGUUUAAAGAGACAUGUUUGGUUGUCAAGGAAUGGACUGUGGUAGUUUUGGAGUAUGUCAACUUAGCUAAGCUCUAACUACAUUUCUUAGAAUUUCCUUCUCUGAAUGUGUACUAAAGUCAGGGAUGAUCACAAGAGAAGAUUUGGAAGACAAAGAUGAAGCUGCAGUCCUUAUGUUUGAGAGGAGGCAGGUAUAGAGUUCCAGGUGUUGCUCAUGUGUGCCGUUGCUGAUCAGCAGACUCAAGUUGUUGGCAUAGACUAGUUCUUCUUCAGCUUCCACCAUGUCUUCUUCAACUCUUCUGUGUCCCAGGCCACAGUAUGUGUGUGGUGAAGGUCAUCAACUUCUUCUAGAGGUUAGCGAAACUCAGGUUCCAAAAAUUUUUCCAUGAGCUUCAGUUGCCUUUAUAGAUGCCUGUUUGCUCUUGUUUUUCACUGCUUUCUGUCCAGCUUUCCUUCAAGUCCCUGGCUUGAUGACUUACAGAGACAUUGGGUCCACACCAGAUGCAGAAGCUAGAGCCAUCCAUGGACAUUGGCACCAGCUCCCUUUCAUGGUCCCUGGUCAGUGAUUUUUCUCUGUUUCUACUACGGUUCCUAUGAAGGUCAGUUUUGUGUGUCACCUUGGAUAGGUUACAGCCCCCAGUUCUUCAAUCUGUUGCUGUGGAGGUAUUUGACAGAUGUGAUCAAACUCCAUCUUCAGUUGACUUUAUGGGAGAUUGUUUUAGCUGGGUGAUCCAGACUGAAUCAUUUUUUUUCAGAUCAGAGCUGAGGAUUCCUUGAAGAAGAAGAAAUUCUGCCUGAGAUAGGGAAGAUACAGAGACUGAUAGGGAAGAGACUGAGCCCCUAGGCAAGGAACACUGCAACACCUGCAACUUACUUACAAAAAUUAUGUGCUUGGCUACUGACUUAAAAGCCCCAUCCUGGAAUGUGUGAUAAGGAAAGAACAAACAAUGUACUCCCUUGUAAGAUGCCUUUUAGAAGGACUGGCUGGAUCUGGUCCCUGGAGCAUGUGCAGACAUCCGCAAGGUGAUUUACAGAUGACCUCCGCCUGAUGCAAGUACCCUCGACAGGAAUUGAACUGGUACCAUGGGGAGUGACUGUGCAGGCAUGACACUCCAUGAUAAGUCCUGCCAUCCAGUCCCAGGAGCCUUUGCUACAGGUUGUAUCUUGGAUUCCAGAUGCAUGUAGCUAUUUAGUAUGCACUGCCAUUCUGGCAAAUAUCUGCCCCUUAAAGAAACCUACUAAAUAUUCAUUAUCCUAUUAUCCUCACUAAACCCAAAUAAGCCCCAGAAAACCUUUGUUCAGGGGAACAGAAGGUAGCGUUGCUUGAUCCCUCUCUGUUCCCAGCUUGCGAACAUUCACUUUCAUUCUGCUGCUAAUAAACCUUUG